UGUCUGUGAAAUUGAAAACAGAUUUUGACAUUUUAAAUUGUCUUUGGUGUAUUUUGUUUUAUAACAAUAAAGAAACAUAUCUUUUGUGUCUUUUGGAUUAGUUUUAGUAUUUAUAAAUUAUUUGUUAUUGGCAAAUAAAGAAACGAUGGGGAGCUUAGACAGAGGUGUAUUAACUGGAUUUAUAUGUAGAUUAUGUUCUGAAAUGCAUCGUGUUGUUCUUCAUAUUUAUGGAGAAGAAGGUAUUCGAUUAUGUAUAUCUGAAAAAAUCAAUAGAUAUCUUUCAAUAAACGUAUCACGUUCAGAUCCUCUACCUAAAACUAUUUGCAAGAAUUGCUUAGAACGUUUGGAAAAUCAACAUAGGUUGGUGAUGCGUAUCGAACAUGCAGCAAAUAUGUUAAAAGGUCAAAGACGUGCGCGAGUAGGCCGUGGCUGUUAUGUGAGCCUGUGUGACAAUUCCAAUGGACCACCACAUCCUCCUAUACGAAAAUAAGUUAUCCAAAAUUUUAGUUCAGGAUUUAGUUUUGUUAAUUAAGUUAGAUAUAAGAUAAAUGCAUCUGAAUCUAACAAAAAAAUAUGACUACAACUUUUCUCUUAUUAUCCUUCCCUUUAUUAGAGUUGCCAAACAAUAAAAUGUUUCAACUUUAAAGUAGAGAAAUAAUUACAAGCAUUUAAAUAUAUUAAGGUAUUACCUGGGUUGAUCUGCUAUUUAUAAUUAUGAAUGUUUACUUAUAAAUUAGCAGUGCUGUUAGGUAAAUUAGAUUAUAAAAUUUCAAGUUGUAAAUAUUUUAAGAAACAUAUAAUCUGGUUGUUUUAUUAUUCUUAAAUGUAAUUUUAGAAUAAAUUUGUUACGGUUUAAGAAAUAGUAUUAGUAAGCUAAAUUUUAGCAAUAAUAUUAUCAAUAAAAUUUUGUAAACUAAAACUUAUGUAUAUUGGUUAAAUUAAAAUAUAGUAUCAUAAGGUUUUUGAAUUAUUCUCUUGAUAAUUAUGUAAUCACUAAAUUAUGUUUACUCAUAGCUGUUUAAAUAAAUGAAAUUAUGAAAUAUA